rnacentral:tRNA from 1 species
ACGAAUAUGCCGAAAUUGGUAGCCGGGUGAGUCUUAGGAACUCAUGAUUUUUAAUCGUAAGAGUUCAAGUCUCUUUAUUCGUA